rnacentral:rRNA from 1 species
GAUGAACGCUGGCGGCGUGCCUAAUACAUGCAAGUAGAACGCUGAAGCUUGGUGCUUGCAUCGAGCGGAUGAGUUGCGAACGGGUGAGUAACGCGUAGGUAACCUGCCUCUUAGCGGGGGAUAACUAUUGGAAACGAUAGCUAAUACCGCAUAAAAGUCGAUAUCGCAUGAUAUUGAUUUGAAAGGUGCAAUUGCAUCACUAAGAGAUGGACCUGCGUUGUAUUAGCUAGUUGGUGAGGUAACGGCUCACCAAGGCAACGAUACAUAGCCGACCUGAGAGGGUGAUCGGCCACACUGGGACUGAGACACGGCCCAGACUCCUACGGGAGGCAGCAGUAGGGAAUCUUCGGCAAUGGGGGCAACCCUGACCGAGCAACGCCGCGUGAGUGAAGAAGGUUUUCGGAUCGUAAAGCUCUGUUGUAAGAGAAGAACGAGUGUGAGAGUGGAAAGUUCACACUGUGACGGAACUACCAGA